rnacentral:rRNA from 1 species
GCAAGUCGAACGAUGAUCCCCAGCUUGCUGGGGGGAUUAGUGGCGAACGGGUGAGUAACACGUGAGUAACCUGCCCUUAACUCUGGGAUAAGCCUGGGAAACUGGGUCUAAUACCGGAUAUGACUGAUCAUCGCAUGGUGGUUGGUGGAAAGCUUUUUGUGGUUUUGGAUGGACUCGCGGCCUAUCAGCUUGUUGGUGAGGUAAUGGCUUACCAAGGCGACGACGGGUAGCCGGCCUGAGAGGGUGACCGGCCACACUGGGACUGAGACACGGCCCAGACUCCUACGGGAGGCAGCAGUGGGGAAUAUUGCACAAUGGGCGCAAGCCUGAUGCAGCGACGCCGCGUGAGGGAUGACGGCCUUCGGGUUGUAAACCUCUUUCAGUAGGGAAGAAGCGAAAGUGACGGUACCUGCAGAAGAAGCGCCGGCUAACUACGUGCCAGCAGCCGCGGUAAUACGUAGGGCGCAAGCGUUAUCCGGAAUUAUUGGGCGUAAAGAGCUCGUAGGCGGUUUGUCGCGUCUGCCGUGAAAGUCCGGGGCUCAACUCCGGAUCUGCGGUGGGUACGGGCAGACUAGAGUGAUGUAGGGGAGACUGGAAUUCCUGGUGUAGCGGUGAAAUGCGCAGAUAUCAGGAGGAACACCGAUGGCGAAGGCAGGUCUCUGGGCAUUAACUGACGCUGAGGAGCGAAAGCAUGGGGAGCGAACAGGAUUAGAUACCCUGGUAGUCCAUGCCGUAAACGUUGGGCACUAGGUGUGGGGGACAUUCCACGUUUUCCGCGCCGUAGCUAACGCAUUAAGUGCCCC